UACGAAGGGAGCGAGCGUUGUUCGGAAUUACUGGGCGUAAAGGGCAUGUAGGCGGAUAGUAAAGAUAGGGGUGAAAUCCCGGGGCUCAACCUCGGAACUGCCUCUAUAACUUACGAUCUAGAGUACUGAAGAGGAUAGCGGAAUACCCAGUGUAGAGGUGAAAUUCGUAGAUAUUGGGUAGAACACCGGUGGCGAAGGCGGCUAUCUGGGCAGUAACUGACGCUGAGGUGCGAAAGUGUGGGGAGCGAACAGG
rnacentral:rRNA from 1 species